UAACGCGUAGGUAACCUGCCUUGUAGCGGGGGAUAACUAUUGGAAACGAUAGCUAAUACCGCAUAACAAUGGGUGACACAUGUCAUUUAUUUGAAAGGGGCAAUUGCUCCACUACAAGAUGGACCUGCGUUGUAUUAGCUAGUAGGUGAGGUAACGGCUCACCUAGGCGACGAUACAUAGCCGACCUGAGAGGGCGAUCGGCCACACUGGGACUGAGACACGGCCCAG
rnacentral:rRNA from 1 species